GAUGAACGCUAGCUACAGGCUUAACACAUGCAAGUCGCGGGGCAGCAUGGGGGUUGCUUGCAACUCCCGAUGGCGACCGGCGCACGGGUGAGUAACGCGUAUCCAACCUGCCCUUCACCACGGGAUAACCCGGCGAAAGUCGGCCUAAUACCGUAUGUUGUCCAUUGACGGCAUCCGACUUGGACGAAAGGCUUUGCCGUGCAGGAUGGGGAUGCGUCCGAUUAGCCAGACGGCGGGGUAACGGCCCACCGUGGCUACGAUCGGUAGGGGUUCUGAGAGGAAGGUCCCCCACACUGGAACUGAGACACGGUCCAGACUCCUACGGGAGGCAGCAGUGAGGAAUAUUGAUCAAUGGGCGUAAGCCUGAACCGGCCAAGUAGCGUGCAGGAUGACGGCCCUAUGGGUUGUAAACUGCUUUUAUGCGGGGAUAAAGUGGCCCACGUGUGGGCUUUUGCAGGUACCGCAUGAAUAAGGACCGGCUAAUUCCGUG
rnacentral:rRNA from 1 species